rnacentral:lncRNA from 1 species
UGAAUGUACAUCAGAUUUUAAAUGCAGAUUAUACGCUUAUCUUGCCAGCUGCUGUUAGCCUGGAAUUUUCCUCGGGUAUCUAUUGUGGUGGAAUGAUAUUAUUUAAGAAGUUUAAAAAAAAAAAAAAGUCAUUCAGAAUAAUUUCAAGUCUAUGUUAGGAGCUCAGUUGUGUACAUAGCGCUGCUUUUGGCUUUCUGCUGUACCCUGGAACUGCCAUGCACUUUGGUCUUGCAGCAUCUGGUACCAAACUUUGCCUUUUCAGGGGUCAUAGGGAACCAGUUAUUACCUAAGCAUAAGAGUAUUUGACGUUAAUUAGCAGUGUUUUGACAGUCCAGAAUGGGUACAGAGAGCACUUCAGGUGUCUGUGUUAAGAGUCGGUUGCUGCUCUAAGUGCAGGUAAGCUUCCUCAGCAGGGCAGUUUGGUUGAGAAUGACAGCAUCUUAUUAGAUAGCUAUGCGUGUAUUUAAACCUUGGCACGUUACUCACCUGGCAUAGGUAUUAAUUUUCACUUGAAAAGUUCUACAUUUGGCUUAGAAAAUGUAUUAUUAAGAAGAAAUGCUCAAACUUCUUUCCAUUUUCUUUGAUUCUGAAGCGCAGCUAAUGCUGUCCAUAAACUAAUGGCUCUGAAGAACAUUGCCCAGGGGAAGGUAUCUCACUUAAUGCCACAGAUGAUGCAAAGAACAGGGCAGAUCAGAUCAGAGAAAUUAAAAAUCAGGAGGAAAAUAGGUCAGGAGAAUAAAGAGAGGUCCUUAAGCUAUUUAAAAGUAAGCAUUUAUCAUUCGUUACUGCAGAUAUAUUCUGCUCUGAAGCGUAAAUUACCAGGCUCCAUUACGGUGUAACUGUGGGCAAAUGCUACCUUCAGUGCAACUGAGUUUAGCAGAUUCCUGUAAGUAGGUGUAAUUAUUAACCUCAUUGAAGGAGUAUGUAGCUAGUCAGAAGGGAAUGUGUUUGUUCGUUUGUUUCAAAUAAACGUUGUCAUUCUGGGUCAUCAGCUUCUUGCAGUGGAAGUGAUAGCGGGAGUGCUUGGCUCUCGCAGCCCCCUGCACUGAGUGCUCUUCUCCAGGGGAGUGCAGCUUGGUGAAGAAAGCAGUGGCAGCCCUGGCAGGGCACAGCAUGGAUCUGAAUUGUUCACAAGCUGUUAUGCAGUCAUUAGUUUCUCUUAGUCAUCUCAGUCUUCUUUCUGCCCCUUGGUUUUCACGAUGCCACGGCUUCUGUCUAGACCUUCCUUCUCUCUUCACUUGCUCCGUCUGUGACAGCAGCCAGCCUGGAAUGGAGUUUCAUGCUGCUCAGAGCAGUAGGUAGGAAUCUAUAAUUAUUUCAGAAAUAACAUGUUACACAGUGUGAUUUAGUCAUACUUUGACACACCUCUGUCUGCCAAGAAAUAGGCAGGCACUACCUUAUAAAGCUGUUGCUGAGAGCAAUCCUUCAGGCUCAGGGAGCACAAAGCUGCUUCAUUGUAUGGAUAGCUGCAGGAGUCAGCAGCAGGGUUUGGGGCUGGGGCCUGCAGAGACCUUAAAGCACGCAAAUCUGUUGCCUGAAUUAGAGGUUGUGCUUCUGCCUAGGGGAUGUAUCCCCACGCAGAAAUAGCUCAGGACAUAAGCUGGUAAAUUUAAGACUGUUUGGAAAGUGAUUUUAUUUCCAUUUCCAGCCUUUAAAAAGCAUCCUUGUCGCUCUUGUGAGCCUUUUGGAACAUUCACCAUCAACCAGUUCUUUCCUAGUAUGAGACAGUUGCAUUUUGAAGGUACAUCUGUCUACAGUCUUAAUUACAAUAGCAACAUACAAUUUUCAGGGUACAAACGGCUGUAUAAACACGUCCCUACUCAGCCACACUAUCCCUUCCUCAGGAGUAUUUCUCAUCUGAGAAUCUCCUAUACUUAUUUAUUCCUCUUAUCAUACAGAAGACUAAAAAGCCCAGUGUCCUUUAAGGUCCCCCAGUAUGCAGUGUCAGGAGGUCUGUGGCGUAUUUGCACAGGCAGUCGGCUUUAUUUCACAGUAACACAUUUAAUUUUGUUAGUUACUUAGUUACUUGUAAUAGGCAGUCAUAACACUCGUAGGUAGCAUCGUGACUCACUGUAAAAUGACUGCAACAAAGCGCUGUCAUUUUGUCGCUGCAUUAUAGCAGACAGAACCAGAUCUCUCAGGAGUGUGCUGAGUUAUUUCUCGAAGGCCAAGGGACACGUCCUCCCUGGGAGAGGUCACCUUGUCCUCAGUGCCUGGAAGCUUUUUGUCAAAGAUUCUGGUGCUGUGUAACCUUCCCCGUUCUGUUUGCAGAUCGGCAGUAUAAUUCUUCACACCUAUUGCAAAUACAGGAUGGGAGAGGUGUCUCAUGGGAAAAAUAAUAAGAAAUACAAAAUCAUAGCUCUGCCAUGUUUUGAAAGUGCUUUAGGUUGGUGAGUGGAUAAAUGAAAGCUCAACUCUGUGGAGAUGUAAGUGUAAUUUAAUCCACUUUCAGUCUCUGUCCUUGAGUUAGUGUUCAGCCUUCUGAGAGCCGUUUCUUCCUUUUGAGCCCUUUGUGUAUGAGCCGUGUGUGUUUGUUCAGCCACUGCUGUUGCAUGACCACCUCCACCCAGCCCUGAGUCCAAAGGUUCACCAGUUUCCUUUAGCUCAUAAAUCUGAAGGUGGGUGAGAUAAGGCAGGCUCUGCAAACUGCGCUCUGUUUUAAUGAUAUGGUUAUUGCUUAAGAUCCAGUGCUCUGCAAGUCAAAGAUACAAAAUGCAUUGCAAUUUAAAGUUCAAUUAUUCUGUUAUUACUGUUUGAAACUGUAGUUGGCACUCGUAUUAUUAAUUUAGAAAGUAAGGGAUGUAAGAGGUAGGCAGGCAGUCAUUAUAUCACGUACGUUUAUGUCCACACACAUUCUCACUUUCACCAAAGGAAAUUAGGGCUACCGAAGGCACAAGUAACUUUGGACUGAUGCUCUCCUGCCUUAGAUAGAGCUGAUAUACAGAAGGGGAAGCCAGAAUGAGCCAGCAGCAGCCGUCUUCUUCCAUCGCUCUGCAUUAGUGGACCUACACUUGUAAGAAACACUGCUGUUGUAAGUCAGAAUGGCUUCAGAAACAUGCCUUCCUAACACAGUGCCUCUAUAAACUCUUGUUUAAGGCAAAGCACAAGAGUUAGUAGCAUUUCUCACAUUUUGGUGUAAUGAAUUCAGUCCAUGAAACCAUGGAAUGACAAAGGCAAUCUGCAAAAACAGGCAGUGUUUACCUGAAAUAUUUAAUUUUAAGAAUACACCAUGAUUCAAAAAACUGAAGGGAGUAUAAACUGGGGCACAAAAUGUUCAAGAACUAUUAAAUCACUGUCAUUCUAAUCUCUUUUAAUUGUUCACCAGAUAAUAGCUGUUGGAAACAGAAAGACAAAAACCAAGCAUGCUGAGUCAGAUGUGGGUCACUGUCUCCUGAAAUGCAGCUGUCAGGAGCUGGUUUCCAGGUUUGGAAAAGAAACAUUGCUGGGGAGGAAUCCAAUGAAUUUAUUAAUGAGCUGGUGAAAAGCUGCUGAAGGACAGCUGGAUAUUUGGUGCCAACUGGAAAUUCCUGAUUUCAGAGAACAGCCCUGGUUCAGGAAAGAAACCAGCCAAGAAGCUCUACUAUAAAUUAAAAUGUGAGCUCCUAGAAACCAUUUCCUGACGGGACUCAGGUACUUUACCUUUGCCAUUCCUGUAAAACAUCAGCUGCAUACAUCAGACUGAUGGCGUCAGGUGGUUUUCCAUAAAAAUCCUGUCUGUGCUGUGCUUCAUUUGCUUUAUUUUUGCUCUAACCCAAGAAACAAGUCAGCAGCUUCAAGAGUCAGCUGACACUGAGUCCUUUCCCAGCAAAGCCUACUGUUAACCAUGUGCAGCUCCAGCCAUAUUUGUAGGUAAUUUCAUUCUGUUUUUUUUAAUAAUAACUACUUUGCUUUACUUUUUCCAGUUUAAUUGGGAUUUUAUUUCAUAGCAUUAGUUUUUGGCCUUGUAAAACAAUGAGGUAUUUGAAACUAUUUAGGGGCAAGUAUUCUCACUGUGAUGGGGCACGUGGAUUGAAAUGCACAGCAAUUCUCUGUUUCACUGAGAAGGCGUGGGUUCAUAACACAGAGUUUACUAGAUGGGUGUGUCCACUGGUACAGUACCUAUUUGUUGGUAUUUGCUAUAGAAGAACUUUGGCUGGCUGCUGUUCUUUUCAUUCUGCAGCACGUUUCUAAACAACAUUCCACGGUGUUUUAGAGCUUGACUAAGAGGUCUCCUGGGGAAAAAUAAGAUCACCUUUUAACUGAUUUCAGCACAGCUGGCUUCUCUUUAAUCCUACAAUGAUGUUGUACCUCAUACUAGCAAGUGUUUUAAUGGGAAAGUUUGUACUUCAUGUGACUUAAAACCGUAUUUCCUCUCCUCUGAGCUCUCUUUGGCUGGAAAUGCAUAGGCUUUCGAGAAAAAAAUAAGUUAGGUGCAUUUUUGUGCAAUGCAGCAGUUUCUCCACUUUCGCUAACCCUCAUUUUUGUAGCUGAUAGAACAGAGCAGGGACCGUCUGAGCACGUGCCGUAAUCCCCAACGGGCUGCAGUCCAGAUAUUCACGCAUCCCCGCUGAAAAGCAUCACCACGCCGAGCCCCCUUACGCUCAGCUCCGCUCGUGCGUCCCCGGCGCGGAGGCGGUGCCGGGCGGCUCCUCCCUUCCGC